UCCUGUUUACGCGCAUCGUCCGACGCCAGGACCUUUCGGAACGUGUGAAGAACACAGUGCAUCCUUCACCACAUCCAGUCGUCGGGGCUGCGACAACAGAUCCAUUUCCGACUCACUGCAGGAUGCAGAAUCUUCUGACUGUGAAUUAGCGGGAGGCGGACAGUGGGACGAAAGACACUGUGCUGCCAUCUGACAGACUCUCUGACGCUAAGAGAUGAAAGCGCAUGUUAACACCUCGGACAAACUCCUUGUGACUCGAUGUCGUGUCUCUUUACGUCACGUCCGGCACCUUGCGAACGUCGAGCAAGUUCUUCCGCACACCGCCAGGCAACAGCUCGUUUCCAUAGCACUGUGAGCGCAAUGAAAGGCGCCUGCCCUCAGUACAUACAAAGCCGGAGAAGAAACCUGCGUAAACAUUACUCAAAACCAGAGAAGAAACCCAUGUAAACAUUAUUCAACAAGUGGAGUACUUCUAACCACGUGUUUGUGCUUAUUGUCUUCGCUCAGCUAUUUACGUCCCUUCCCAACCCUAUUCCCCUCUCCACCCUAGUGGGAAGGAGAGAAGGAACAGCCCGACCCUUUGCAAGAAGUCAAAACCAAAACACCUUGUGCCAGGCAUCCCUGACCUAUACACACCCAGCCAUGUCGAAACUGACCGAAGAGCAGGUGACCGAAUACCUCAGAAACCACCCUGAGUUCCUGCUGAACUGGCUGGGCGAGAACAGUAGCACGGAGCUCGUCGACGUCUUCGGGCGGCUGGCGCGCGACCGGGGCGUGGAUUCCUCAGUCCCCGACACGAGUGUCGGGACGUGCCGCUCGGACACCCGUUCCUCCCUGCCGAACUUCACCCAAGUGUCCCGCAACUCCAUUACGUCUUCCAUCUUCCGCCGCUAUGUGGAUGGAGACCGCACUCGCAAAACCUCCUUGCGCAAGGACCGCAACAGCCUGCGCACCAUGUCGGAGGAUGAGCUCUUCAUGGAGCUCAUCCGCGACAUCGCCAGCGAACUGGACGUCAACCUGCUAUGCCACAAGAUCCUGCAGAACGUCAGCCUCCUGACCAACAGCGACCGAAGCUCCCUCUUCCUGGUGCGUGGUUCGCGCGAGGGCAAGUACCUCGUGUCAAAGCUCUUCGACGUCACCGUGACGUCCACGCUGGAGGACUCGCAGAACAACGAGAUUAAGGUGCCCUUCGGCAAGGGCAUCGUGGGCAUCGUCGCGCAGACUGGCGUAGCCAUCAACAUCAAGGACGCGUAUGCUGACCCGCGAUUCAAUCAGGAGAUCGACCGGCAGACCGGCUACAAGACCCACAGCAUCCUGUCCAUGCCCAUCGUCAACUACGAGGGCGAGGUCAUCGGUGUCGCGCAGAUCAUCAACAAGAUCGACGGCGACCACGAGUUCACCAAGCAGGAUGAGGAGGUGUUCCGAAAAUAUCUUAUCUUCUGUGGGAUCGGCAUCACAAAUGCACAGCUCUUUGAGAUGUCCGUCAAUGAGUUUAAAAGAAAUAAGCUUCUGUUGCACCUGGCAAGAGGGAUCUUUGAAGAGCAAACCAACUUGGAGAAGCUCGUGCAGAAGAUCAUGCUAGACGCGCAAGACCUACUCAAGUGUGAGAGAUGCUCGGUCUACCUUUUGGAGGACACUCUUGAACAUGACAUUGCGCGGUUCACGCACGCUUUCAUGUCCAGGCUCGGCACAUACUCGCGCAGCUCACUGGUCAUGGCCAUGCAGUCAACACAAGUGAAGCUACACAAUAUAAGGAAGAACAUUUACCAAGUCCUCGAUCCGGCCAACCAGCAUGACAUGACCGCCAACUUAAGUCUCGGACUGCUGCCGGAAGCCAAGCAAAGGAUAAGAGAGGAAGUGGUCUUCUCGAAAGGUUUUGACAUGUGGUCUAAGGAUGGCAAUGUAACAGCUAUCAGUGGUCCAGAACUCUCAACGUCCAGGACUGCCUUCAUUGCCAAGUUUGCUGUGAUAACAGACGAAACUGUCAACGUGCCUGAUGUCGAAGCCGAUGGAAGAUUUGGCAAAGGUCCCUUCGUCGAUCUCAAGGGCUGCACGAUCCGCAGCGUCCUCUGUAUGCCUAUCCACAACAGCGACAAGCAGAUCAUCGGCGUCACGCAGCUCGUCAACAAAACCAACGGCGAGCCUUUCAACGACAACGAUGUGAACAUUAUCGAGGCUUUCUCCAUCUUCACGGGGCUUGGUAUCCACAACUGCCAGAUGUACGAGAACGCCUGUCAGCUGAUGGCCAAGCAGAGCGUGGCGCUGGAGGUCCUGUCCUACCACGCUACGGCGCAGACGGAGGAGUCCAACGAACUGGCGCGUUCUGACAUCCCGAGCGCUGCUGAGCUCCAGCUAUACUCCUUCGACUUCGACGACAUGCAGAUGGGUGAUGACGUUACGCUCAAGGCAUGCAUUCGCAUGUUCAUGGAAGCCGACCUCAUCAAUCGCUUCAAAGUACCGUAUGAGGUUGCGUGCCGCUGGGUGUGUACUGUCAAGAAGAACUACCGGCCAGUGACGUACCACAACUGGCGACACGCCUUCAACGUAUGCCAGACCAUGUUCAACAUUAUUUUUACCGGAGGCUUCAGGACGAUGUUUGAUGACCUGGAAGUCUUUUCACUGAUGGCCGCCUGCUUGUGCCACGACCUCGACCACAGAGGCACCAACAACGCAUUCCAAGCGAAGGUAGCUUCACCCCUGGCCAUGCUGUACAGUACCUCAGUGCUGGAGCAUCAUCAUUUUGAUCACUGCAUCAUGAUUCUAAACAGCGAGGGCAACAACAUUUUUCAGUCGCUGUCGCCAGAGGAGUACAGGCGUGCCAUCAGAAUGCUAGAGCACGCGAUCCUGUCCACAGACCUGGCUAUAUACUUCAAGACACGAGGAGACUUCAAGAAACUUGUGGAGAAUGGAGAACGCACCUUUCGUGAAAAAAAAGAACGAGAACUGCUCAGGGCCAUGAUGAUGACAGCCUGUGAUGUGGCGGCUAUCACCAAACCCUGGAUAAUUCAGCAAAAGGUCGCGCAGCUGGUUACCAACGAAUUCUUUGAGCAGGGAGACAUCGAGAGGACACAGCUGGGGGAGCAGCCCAUCCCCAUGAUGGACAGAAACAAAAAGGACGAGCUACCCAAGAUGCAGGUCGGUUUCAUCGAUGCUGUUUGUAUCCCCGUCUACAAGCUCUUCACGGAAAUUACUCCGAAUUUGCGUCCAAUGCUGGUGAGCGUGGAAGAUAACAGACAGCACUGGGUACGCAUUGACAACAAUUUGGAGGAACCGCCUCCAUGCCUGAAUAUCAAGAAAGAGGUGGAACUUCAGGAUCGCGCCAUUAAUACCGAGGCUGUUUGCCGAGAUGAACGAGAGGCUGGCCCCCCUGUACCUGGGCUGCGAGAACAAUAGAGAGAAGUGGCAGGAGCUGGCGGACGAGAAGACGACGUCCCUCGCUACAGAAACAGAACAAACCAAUCAGGAACAGCCCGCCAGCGACCGCAGCUCAGAGCAAACCAACAACAAAAGCAACAACAUCGAUAA
rnacentral:misc_RNA from 1 species